rnacentral:rRNA from 1 species
AGUGAACGCUGGCGGUAGGCCUAACACAUGCAAGUCGAACGGCAGCACAGUAAGAGCUUGCUCUUACGGGUGGCGGGUGGCGGACGGGUGAGGAAUACAUCGGAAUCUACUUUUUCGUGGGGGAUAACGUAGGGAAACUUACGCUAAUACCGCAUACGACCUACGGGUGAAAGCAGGGGAUCUUCGGACCUUGCGCGAUUGAAUGAGCCGAUGUCGGAUUAGCUAGUUGGCGGGGUAAAGGCCCACCAAGGCGACGAUCCGUAGCUGGUCUGAGAGGAUGAUCAGCCACACUGGAACUGAGACACGGUCCAGACUCCUACGGGAGGCAGCAGUGGGGAAUAUUGGACAAUGGGCGCAAGCCUGAUCCAGCCAUACCGCGUGGGUGAAGAAGGCCUUCGGGUUGUAAAGCCCUUUUGUUGGGAAAGAAAAGCAGCAGGUUAAUACCCCGCUGUUCUGACGGUACCCUAAGAAUAAGCACCGGCUAACUUCGUG